GGCUUCAGCUAAUUUAGGAAACAAUCUGGUCACCAAAAAGAAUUUUCUCAGGAACGCCACCAGGACAACUUGGCAAUGCCAUAAUUCUUCAAACAGCCAACCCACUUAAAUGAGAAAAGCACACAUCUUCCAUAUAAGAUUCAGAUUUUGUGGAAUAUCACUCUUUAAGCAUCAAAAUAGAAACGGCUAACCAAAACCAUGUCAAAAUCAUAAGACGGAGGAGAGAAGCAGGACAGAUUCCAGAAGCCCUUGUGUCUAUUCCAGAUGGCACACUUUGAGUCUGAAAAUUCAUUAACAGAUCGGCAGUGUUGUUUUUUGCAUUUUGUUUCAUUUUUAAUACCCCGCACAGGUGGCUUGAUUUGUCUGUCCACAAAGGGAUUACAACCACUGAGUCAGAAAAGAACUCAGCCUUGAAUGCAUCGCCCAUGCCACCUGCCUGGCAGCCUCCAGAAUGAGAAAGCAGCAGGUCAGAGGUUCAGGGAAAUUUGAGAUUUGCAAGGGGCCACGGCAAGAGGGAAACGGUUCCUGUACCUUCCUAUGGCCCUGAACGCUGCCAGCUGGCUUGGGCACUCCCAGCAUGGAGGAAGCCCAACCAGUCUUUCCUAUUUUCCGUGACACAGUUGUUGGCUUAAUCCUCCUUCUGGAGUGCGUAAUCCUCAGUUAACCACUAGUUGAGGACCUCGCUCCCACCUGGAAUGGGGAAGCAACCAAAGCACACAACUUGAUACAGUUCAAGGCAGCCAGGGACUGAUCUAAGAAAGCUAGCUUUAUAGCAGAAAAAAGUCCACGUCUACGCAAAGAUGGCCAAAUAAGCUAACGUUUCUAUUAUCUGCCUAUAUACUUACGUGUGUGUGGAAACCUUAGAAAGCAGGAAGCCAUUUUUACUACGGGAGUCAAGAAGGAAAAAAAGCUUAGCAGCGCAGGCUGGCCAGUGUAAACUGCUCUAUUGAUGAAAGUGUCAGCAAGGGCCUUUCCUGAAUGGCUCACUUCACCGGACCUGGGACACUCAGGUACCAGCUGAUGCCCCAACAUCAAACGUGGGAGCCAAAACAUGGCAGGAAGCAGAUGGUGUCAUAUUUCCUGGGUCUCGCUGUCCAGUUGAGUUCAGCGCCUGCCAAGUGCAAAAUGAAAUGUCUCUCCUUUCACAGAGCCCCGCACACACGGCAAGCUGGGGUGGUGGCUGUGGUGGCAACGGCAAGUUCAGGGGAAAGCAGGAGCCUCGGAGGCACAGACAGAGCAGAGUGGUUUGCAAGUCAGAUGCUGAGAGAGGCAAUGGAAAUUCAGUCACAGCAGAAAAAGGGAAAUGAGCCAGAAAUGUGGUUUGGAGUAAGAUGUGCUUUGCUCAGCAAAGACACUCAGCUUUAAAAGAUGGAUGGAGGAAAAAAUCUGUAUCUGGCUUGAUUGCUUAUGAAGAAAAUCCCUCUAAGUAUAAACACUUCUUUGAAACUGUCAAGAUAAUAAUAAUGUUAAUAUUGACUACACUUUUAUUCUGCUAAGCAUGUGAAUUCACUUAAUCCUCACAGCAACACUACAUG